AGCCUUGCGCAAAUGCAAUUUCAUAACCAAUGAAAGUCCGCCGAGGCGUGAUUAUUGCUAGUUGAAAAUACCUUAACUUGUUAAGUGUUUGAAAAGUAACACCUUAGACCAUCUUGAUCCAAAUAUUGGAAUUUUCGGUUGGUACUUGAAU